UACCACCCUUUGUUUAUUACACUUUGUUGCUUUGGCAAGCCUGCCCUCGGGCUGCUGGCUCCGGCCGGCGAGCGCUUGCCACAGGACCUAAACUCUGUUUGUCUAUACUGUCUGAGUACUAUAUAAUAGUUAAAACUUUCAACAACGGAUCUCUUGGUUCUGGCAUCGAUGAAGAACGCAGCGAAAUGCGAUAAGUAAUGUGAAUUGCAGAAUUCAGUGAAUCAUCGAAUCUUUGAACGCACAUUGCGCCCCCUGGUAUUCCGGGGGGCAUGCCUGUCCGAACGUCAUUACAACCCUCAAGCUCAGCUUGGUGUUGGGCCCCGCCGCCCCGGCGGGCCCUAAAGUCAGUGGCGGUGCCGUCCGGCUCCGAGCGUAGUAAUUCUUCUCGCUCUGGAGGUCCGGUCGUGUGCUCGCCAGCAACCCCCAAUUUUUUUCAGGUUGACCUCGGAUCAGGUAGGGAUACCCGCUGAACUUAAGCAUAUCAAUA
rnacentral:rRNA from 1 species